GCCACUGUAGUUCAGUGGUAGAAUUGCCCGUCCCGUUUGGACCUCAGGUUUGACGCCGGGAGACCGCAGGUUCGAUUCCUCGGAGUGGUG